rnacentral:rRNA from 1 species
GAUGAACGCUGGCGGCGUGCCUAAUACAUGCAAGUCGAGCGAACAGAUGAGGAGCUUGCUCCUCUGACGUUAGCGGCGGACGGGUGAGUAACACGUGGAUAACCUACCUAUAAGACUGGGAUAACUUCGGGAAACCGGAGCUAAUACCGGAUAAUAUAUUGAACCGCAUGGUUCAAUAGUGAAAGACGGUUUUGCUGUCACUUAUAGAUGGAUCCGCGCCGCAUUAGCUAGUUGGUAAGGUAACGGCUUACCAAGGCGACGAUGCGUAGCCGACCUGAGAGGGUGAUCGGCCACACUGGAACUGAGACACGGCCCAGACUCCUACGGGAGGCAGCAGUAGGGAAUCUUCCGCAAUGGGCGAAAGCCUGACGGAGCAACGCCGCGUGAGUGAUGAAGGUCUUCGGAUCGUAAAACUCUGUUAUUAGGGAAGAACAAAUGUGUAAGUAACUAUGCACGUCUUGACGGUACCUAAUCAGAAAGCCACGGCUAACUACGUG